GAGCGGGCGUAGCAAUACGUCAGCGGCAGACGGGUGAGUAACGCGUGGGAACGUACCUUUUGGUUCGGAACAACCCCAGGGAAACUUGGGCUAAUACCGGAUAAGCCCUCACGGGGAAAGAUUUAUCGCCGAAAGAUCGGCCCGCGUCUGAUUAGCUAGUUGGUGAGGUAAUGGCCCACCAAGGCGACGAUCAGUAGCUGGUCUGAGAGGAUGAUCAGCCACAUUGGGACUGAGACACGGCCCAAACUCCUACGGGAGGCAGCAGUGGGGAAUAUUGGACAAUGGGCGCAAGCCUGAUCCAGCCAUGCCGCGUGAGUGAUGAAGGCCCUAGGGUUGUAAAGCUCUUUUGUGCGGGAAGAUAAUGACGGUACCGCAAGAAUAAGCCCCGGCUAACUUCGUG
rnacentral:rRNA from 1 species